UGGUCGGGGCACAGGCAUGGCAGGAAGGGCGUGUGAAGGAGUUGCAGUAGCUAGGGUUAGGGAUUUUGGGGAAGGGGAUGAUGAAUAGUGAGGGGUUUAUAUAGAUUUUAGGGCACACGGCUGUGGGGUACGCCCGUGUGCCCUAAUUUUAGCCCGUGUGUUUUGCUAUUUUUAAAUUUGGGCACGUCUGAAAUUCAUCCCACCUGUGUUCUUUGGGUGGGUCGAUGCACACAGCUAUGUCGCACAGUCGUGUUC
rnacentral:lncRNA from 1 species